UUUAUUGGAGAGUUUGAUCCUGGCUCAGGACGAACGCUGGCGGCGUGCCUAAUACAUGCAAGUCGAGCGGACCUUUCAAGAGCUUGCUCUUGAAAGGUUAGCGGCGGACGGGUGAGUAACACGUGGGCAACCUGCCCUGUAGACUGGGAUAACUUCGGGAAACCGGAGCUAAUACCAGAURAUCAWUGACAUCACAUGGUGUCAUUGUAAAAGUUGGGUUUACCUAACACUACGGGAUGGGCCCGCGGCGCAUUAGCUAGUUGGUGAGGUAAUGGCUCACCAAGGCGACGAUGCGUAGCCGACCUGAGAGGGUGAUCGGCCACACUGGGACUGAGACACGGCCCAGACUCCUACGGGAGGCAGCAGUAGGGAAUCUUCCGCAAUGGACGAAAGUCUGACGGAGCAACGCCGCGUGAGUGAUGAAGGCCUUCGGGUCGUAAAKCUCUGUUGUUAGGGAAGAACAAGUACCGUUCGAAUAGG
rnacentral:rRNA from 2 species